UUCUUAAGGAUGAGACAGCACCAACUGAGCAGCGCACAAUGGCCAACAGAAACACUGGGGCAUGAGCUGCAGGUGGAUGGGAGCAGUUGCGGUGUCCUUAUUUUAAAUGUUCUGGAUGAAUACCUGAAGUCGGGUUCGAUUAUGGAAGUAAAGACUGAUCCUGCAUCUGUGCAAGCUGCCAGACGACAUAUUGCCUGCAAGCUCAUUGAAAAUGGUGGUGCAGUGUGACAUAUGGGCACAUC